UACCAUCGGAGUAUUAGAGUAUUGGAGUAUUGUGUCUGUAAGGUAGUAGUUUCUACCAUCAGAGUAUUGUGUCUAUAAGGUAGUAGUUUCUACCAUCAGAGUAUUGUGUCUAUAAGGUAGUAGUUUCUACCAUCAGAGUAUUGUGUCUAUAAGGUAGUAGUUUCUACCAUCAGAGUAUCAGAGUAUUGUGUCUAAGGUAGUAGUUUCUACCAUCGGAGUAUUGUGUCUAUAAGGUAGUAGUUUCUACCAUCGGAGUAUUGUGUCUAUAAGGUAGUAGUUUCUACCAUCGGAGUAUUGUGUCUAUAAGGUAGUAGUUUCUACCAUCGGAGUAUUGUGUCUAUAAGGUAGUAGUUUCUACCAUCGGAGUAUUGUGUCUAUAAGGUAGUAGUUUCUACCAUCGGAGUAUUGUGUCUAUAAGGUAGUAGUUUCUACCAUCAGAGUAUUGUGUCUAUAAGGUAGUAGUUUCUACCAUCAGAGUAUUGUGUCUAUAAGGUAGUAGUUUCUACCAUCAGAGUAUUGGAGUAUUGUGUCUAUAAGGUAGUAGUUUCUACCAUCAGAGUAUUGGAGUAUUGUGUCUAAGGUAGUAGUUUCUACCAUCAGAGUAUCAGAGUAUUGUGUCUAUAAGGUAGUAGUUUCUCCCAUCAGAGUAUUGUGUCUAUAAGGUAGUAGUUUCUACCAUCAGAGUAUUGUGUCUAUAAGGUAGUAGUUUCUACCAUCAGAGUAUUGGAGUAUUGUGUCUAUAAGGUAGUAGUUUCUACCAUCAGAGUAUUGGAGUAUUGUGUCUAUAAGGUAGUAGUUUCUACCAUCAGAGUAUCGGAGUAUUGUGUCUAUAAGGUAGUAGUUUCUACCAUCAGAGUAUUGUGUCUAAGGUAGUAGUUUCUACCAUCAGAGUAUUGUGUCUAAGGUAGUAGUUUCUACCAUCAGAGUAUCAGAGUAUUGUGUCUAUAAGGUAGUAGUUUCUACCAUCAGAGUAUUGUGUCUAUAAGGUGGUAGUUUCUACCAUCAGAGUAUUGUGUCUAUAAGGUAGUAGUUUCUACCAUCAGAGUAUUGUGUCUAUAAGGUAGUAGUUUCUACCAUCAGAGUAUCGGAGUAUUGUGUCUAUAAGGUAGUAGUUUCUACCAUCAGAGUAUUGUGUCUAUAAGGUAGUAGUUUCUACCAUCAGAGUAUUGGAGUAUUGUGUCUAUAAGGUAGUAGUUUCUACCAUCAGAGUAUUGUGUCUAAGGUAGUAGUUUCUACCAUCAGAGUAUUGUGUCUAUAAGGUAGUAGUUUCUACCAUCAGAGUAUUGGAAUA